rnacentral:rRNA from 1 species
AUUGAACGCUGGCGGCAUGCUUUACACAUGCAAGUCGAACGGUAACAGGGAGCUUGCUCCGCUGGCGAGUGGCGAACGGGUGAGUAAUAUAUCGGAACGUGCCCAAGAGUGGGGGAUAGCGUAGCGAAAGUUACGCUAAUACCGCAUACGAUCCAAGGAUGAAAGCAGGGGACCUUCGGGCCUUGUGCUCCUGGAGCGGCCGAUAUCUGAUUAGCUAGUUGGUGAGGUAAAGGCUCACCAAGGCGACGAUCAGUAGCUGGUCUGAGAGGACGACCAGCCACACUGGAACUGAGACACGGUCCAGACUCCUACGGGAGGCAGCAGUGGGGAAUUUUGGACAAUGGGGGCAACCCUGAUCCAGCAAUGCCGCGUGAGUGAAGAAGGCCUUCGGGUUGUAAAGCUCUUUUGUCAGGGAAGAAAAGGGUACGGCUAAUAUCCGUGCCUCAUGACGGUACCUGAAGAAUAAGCACCGGCUAACUACGUGCCAGCCGCCGCAGUAA